CUGGUGGGUAAUUAAUGGUCUUUAGAAGGGCCCAUGUGACACUGCAGAUUUCCUGCCUCGCUAGACCAUUCAUCCCCUUCUUGCGGCAGCUCGGCGUGCGACGGAAUCGCCAUGGAUGGGCUUCGAGGAAGCUGAAUCAGGAUUGAUUCCUAGAGUUCCGUGGAGAUGAAUUUGUGCGAUUCUUAGGAGGAGAUAUCUCUGUUGUGGAGUCAGUCGUUGCGUCUAUCCAUGAAGCUCGCGUGGACUCCGAAGAUUUGAUUUCCUCUGAGCACACAAACUGGCUCUAUGGAUGGUGAGCAUCCUGGCGCAGGGAGGCGCCUUUUGGAUGCAAUGCCGGGGGAAGAGGAAGCUGGCUCAUACAACGGUGCUAGCGAGGUUGUUGCCGAUUCAAACGAUAGGCCACCUGAAGAUAUCAGCGAUGCAGCCGUUCAGAGAGGAUGUAGAUGCAGAGAGCGUGUUCGUCUCCAACUCAAAAGGCUCCUGCUAGACUCGAAGGAUUAGGAUUAGUAAGGCGGCAGAUGAGAGGGAAAUCAAUCCAAGCAGGGUUCCUGCACUCGAGGCUUCAAUACGUGCUUAUGCAAACAAAAAAGCUGCUGUUGUUGUUCAUCCGGCACUGAGGACAACUUUUGAUUUGGCUGAAGAUCCUGAGUUCAAAUAUAGUGUUCAAAGUCGAUGAUGAAGGUCGAGUGAUAACUCUGAUGUGGACAACAGGAUGAAGCAUUGAGCAGUUUAAGUGCUUUGGUGAUGUUGUCACCUUCGAUACCACAUACAAAACUAAUCUUUAUGACAUGCCAUUCGGCUUUUUGUUGGUGUCAACAAUCACUUUCAGAGUAUUAUUUUUGGCGCUGUGCUGAUGAUUGACGAGAAAGUCUGCACUUUCAAGUGGAUUUUCACCGAGUUCUUUCAAAUGGUAGGGGGUGUGGUUCUAACUCAUAACUUGCCUAUUGAGAUUUAUGCUUCCAAAAUUUAUACUAGGACAAUGUUUGAAAAGUUCAGUGAGAUGCUUUAUGAAGGCGGGUUGUAUAUGCUGGUUGAAGUUGUACAGCGUCGUGAGUACACCACCGGGUAUGUUAAGAAGAAUUUGAGAGAAAUGCGGUGCAAGAAUUACUUCGUCGUUCAAGUGAACGGUCCGGGUGAUGAGUUCAAGUGUGAAUGUGGCAUGUUUGAGCAUUUCAAGAUGGUGUGCAGCCAUGCGCUUAAGGGGUCAGGAUCACAAGAGCACCACUUGUCUGCAACAAGGCGAUCUUCCAAAGGCAUCGAGGAAGUCGCCUCGAUGCUCAAGAUGCAGCUUGUGAGGUCACAGAAAGAACACUUGCACCAACCCACCAAAAUCAGACUUUCAAGAUUGAUUUCAGUGUGACUUCUUGAAGCUCGGUUUGCUAACUGAAUAAUCCACUGUUUGUCAAGUGAGAACAACACUCCGUAGGUGUGAGCUGGUGUCGCUGUUGUGCAUGCCUUUGUUAAUCCCUCUAUUGCACUGGAUUUGUGAUGUUGCUAUGACCAAAUAUGUGGUUUAACUUUUUUAGUGAUGGGAAUUCUGGGGUUCUUUGUUUC